GUUGGAUUCGUGCCACAUUUGCAUGCCGUGGGAACGUCGGUGUGUCAAAACAGGAAAGAUCCUAACUUUCUUUGCUAUACAUUUUUCUGUGUGGGUGUUGGGAGCAUCCAUGCACUUCUUCAGUAUAAAAACACCACUUACCUUGUUCUCUGUAUCACUUACUAAAAAAGGUAGAUCCGUUUCAUCCAGCAUUUCUGUAAUCAUUGUCAGACACUUUUUGUGUAAACCUACUGAAGAUGGCUGAUAGCAAGGGUAAGUAGUAACUUAUUCAUCUUACAGAUUCUAAAAUAAUGACAGCCAAUGAAGAAAUAUUGUUUAGUCUGUACAAAUAUAAACUAGUUGUUUUUGUUUCUUACCAGUGGCUGUGGCCCAGUGGAGCCCUUCCUUUGUAAAAGACCUUCUCCCUGCGGCUGAAAAAACGGCUCAUCUGUACCAUCUCUCUUACCUGUGCCUGGCCAAAUUCCCCACCCUGGAGAAGAUCAUCAGGAGUCGGGCUGUGGAAACUCAGCUUCUCUUUGGGUCCUCUGAUGCAAUCUUAUUCAAAGUACUGUUUCAGAUUUUCUUUUAAUUUGAGUAUUUUCAUUUUUGACAGUAUAGCAGAGUAACAGAGAGUGGUUUGUUUUCCGUUACGCCCCUGAAGUGUCUACACAACAUGACUGAUCUUGUGUCUCGUUUUUCUUGCAGUGCAUUUUGACCAGUGACAACCUGGUUCAGUUGCUGUUUCCCAUGUUGAUAGCAGCUGUAGACAAAAAUAAGCCACUUUUGGCGGUCAAACACCUGGCAAAGGCACAAACCUGGAUCAAAGACAUCAUCACAGAUGUGGACAGGAUUGUAGAAAAGUAUGAUUUACAUAACAAAGAUAUAUCAUCGGCCACCAGUGAUGUUGUCGCUGAAAAAUCAAACACAGACAAGAACAUUGCAGAAAAAGCUCAAGAGAAGACGGCGACUGAAGCCGCUCUGGAAGACCAGAAGACGGAGCUCCAAAAAGUCAGUGAAGAAAUCGAUCAACUUGAGAAAAAAAUAAACGAGAAAAGUCAAGAGAUUCAAGACUUUGCCAAAUCCAUAAGCCAAACCAGCACAGGCCUUGGCAUCUUUGCUGCAAUUGUGCCAUUUGUUGGGCCACUCGUCAAAAGCAUAUAUGAUGCUGUAAAAGAGCCUACAAAUAUCGCAAAACUGAAAGGUCUUGAAGCUGAGCUGAAUAAUCUGAUUGCUGAUAAAACUGCUGCCAAACAAAAGCAGUGGCAGCUCCAGCUUCUGAUCAUUGACUGGCAGAUGAAGGCUGCCAGAGCCAAUUUUGACCGAUGUGAGUCCUUUAAGCUUACUAUCUUUCAUGUCUAAAGUAAACCUGUAUGACAAGCCGUGUGCCAAAUUCUGAAGAUGAGGAGGGACUUGUUCAAAUAUGUUUGUAUUUCCCCCUCUGCAGCUUCCAUACCCGACCCCAUCCAUCUAAAAGAUGUGCAGAGUGGCUUGACAAAAAUUCAAUCAAUUAUGAUUCAGCUGAAAAACUUCUGGGAGAGAGUUGCUGAACUGCUUAAGUCCCUGGAACAAAAUACCUUUGCUGGAGAAAACUAUGUCGAUGACCUUGUCGAUUUUAAAGAUUAUUUUAUUAAAUUGAUCGAAAUAGCAACAGCGGUAAAGAUUGUUAAAAACAAAUCUGUAAGAUAUUCUGAAAUGUUUCCUACUCUUAUUUAAUCGCUUAAUAAUGUAUUUUGCAAUUGUUUUAAUGUCACAGGCUUGGAGCUGUUUUGGUGCAGGCUGUCAGGAAGCUUCUGGAAUCUUUAAGCUCCAAACCAAAGAUGCCUACGCGUUCCUGGAGGACAGUCCGUCCUCUUACUCCAAGGAGGUAUGGGACCAAAAAUACAAUGAAGUCAAGGCAAUACUGAUGAAAAUAGACCCACCACCAAGCCUGGAAUCCUCAGAUAAACCUGCUAUUUGUCAGGGACCCUAACAUGCACAAGUUCAUUCAUUCACUUCUUUUCAGUUUCUUGAUGCUUGUAUCCUGGAGUGAUUACAUAAAUUGUUCUUAACUGCUGCAAAGUUCUGUACGCCCCGCCCCUCUGCUUGAUGCUUCAACACUCUGCAUAUAUCAUCUCCUCUGUGUGUGCUCUUUAGAAGCUUUCACAGCAAGGUUGCUGUUAAAUGCAUAAAGAAAUGAAUGUAAAAACAUCGAGUGAAUAAAUUCUGGAAACAUUC
ensembl:lincRNA